GGCCCUACGGGACGCAGCAGUGAGGAAUAUUGGUCAAUGGCCGGAAGACUGAACCAGCCAAGCCGCGUGAAGGACGAAGGUGCCAGGCACUGUAAACUUCUUUUGUCAAGGGACAAAAUCAGGCUCGAGAGCCUGACCGAGGGUACUUGAAGAAAAAGCAUCGGCUAACUCCGUGCCAGCAGCCGCGGUAAUACGAAGGAUGCGAACGUUAUCCGGAUUUAUUGGGUUUAAAGGGUGCGUAGGCGGUCCGUUAAGUCAGCGGUAAAAUUGCGGGGCUCAACCCCGUCGAGCCGUUGAAACUGGCA
rnacentral:rRNA from 1 species